UGUUGUUUGAAAGUCCUUGAGUCAAGUCCUGUCUCUAAGACAAUAGUUGUAGAAUAUCUCAUAAAUGCAACAUAACGUGGUAGAGUCAACCAUUACCCGUGUGGUAUAAUUUAUUGUUUAAAAGUCCCUUAGCUAAGUCUUUCCUCUAAGGUAAGAGUUAUAAAAUAUCUCAUAAAACAAAAUACAAUGCGGUAGUGUGGACUCUUGCCCUUGAAAUAUAACUUGUUUGAAAGUCAAAAGUCUUGCCUCUACAAUGUAGUAGUGUCAACUCUUGCUCAUGAGAUGUAACUUGAAUGAAAGAAAUCGAAGAAAAGAACAAAAAUAAUAAAAAUUGCGAAAAAAGAAGAAAAUGAAGAAAAUAUUAAAAAAGCAAAAAUCAAAGAAAAUGUAGAAGUUGAGAGAGAAUAGGAAAAAAAUAAAGGUUGAUAAAAAUAAAAAUAAAAAGAUUAAAUAAAAAUAAAGGUCGAGAUUUUUUAUUUUUUUUAAAUCAAAGAAAAAUAAAAAACUUUAUUUUUUUUAAUAAAAAUAGAGUUGAAAGG
rnacentral:lncRNA from 1 species